rnacentral:rRNA from 1 species
CCUACGGGUGGCAGCAGUCGAGAAUCAUUCACAAUGGGGGAAACCCUGAUGGUGCGACGCCGCGUGGGGGAAUGAAGGUCUUCGGAUUGUAAACCCCUGUCAUGUGGGAGCAAAUUAAAAAGAUAGUACCACAAGAGGAAGAGACGGCUAACUCUGUGCCAGCAGCCGCGGUACUACAGAGGUCUCAAGCGUUGUUCGGAAUCACUGGGCGUAAAGGGUUCGUAGGCUGUUUCGUAAGUCGUGUGUGAAAGGCGCGGGCUCAACCCGCGGACGGCACAUGAUACUGCGAGACUAGAGUGAUGGAGGGGGAACCGGAAUUCGCGGUGUAGCAGUGAAAUGCGUAGAUAUCAAGAGGAACACUCGUGGCGAAGGCGGGUUCCUGGACAUUAACUGACGCUGAGGCACGAAGGCCAGGGGAGCGAACGGGAUUAGAUACCCUGGUAGUC